rnacentral:rRNA from 1 species
AUUGAACGCUGGCGGCAGGCCUAACACAUGCAAGUCGAACGAGUGGCGGACGGGUGAGUAAUGUCUGGGAAACUGCCUGAUGGAGGGGGAUAACUACUGGAAACGGUAGCUAAUACCGCAUACCAUCAGAUGUGCCCAGAUGGGAUUAGCUAGUUGGUGGGGUAACGGCUAACCAAGGCGACGAUCCCUAGCUGGUCUGAGAGGAUGACCCGUCACCCGGGAACGGGGACACGGUCCAUACUCCUACGGGAGGCAGCAGUGGGGAAUAUUGCACAAUGGGCGCAAGCCUGAUGCAGCCAUGCCGCGUGUAUGAAGAAGGCAUUCGGGUUGUAAAGUACUUUAAGCGGGGCGGCGUUACCCGCAGAAGAAGCACCGGCUAACUCCGUGCCAGCAGCCGCGGUAAUUC